CUUUGGUACUUGCUGUACAGACUGCUGCCAUGCCGGCUGGCUAGGUUGCUCUCUGACUGACUGCUGCCAAAUGCCGCGGACUAACUAAAUACUUUUGCCACCCACUGGUCAAAGAUAGUUACUGCAUCUGGAGUAGAAAUCAGGUCUGCUAUGGGAAAAAGCUGGUCAUUAGAGGAAUGCCUUGUGAUCUACAAUGAUAUCAAGGGGACAUGUCUCUACCUUCUAAGUUGGAAGAAGAUCUCUACAGUAGGAAUCACUCCAAGGACUUUCCAUAUCCAGAAGGCUGGUCCUUGAUUGAAACCAAUUCUUAUCACUCAUCAUAAGGAGCAAGGACCCAUACUAUGUCAAACAACACAAGGAAAGAUAGCCAUAUCAGGAUUUCACACACAAAUCCAUCCUCAUAUAGAUCAACCUGUUCCCUGAUUCAGUACCUAGUGUAGAGGCCUUCUCUCCCUCCCAAUUCAUCUUCAUUUUUCUUGUCCUUGUUCAGUUAUCAAGUGUAUUGUGUGGCUUUUCCUAUAGAGAUGUGUGCAAACAUCUGUUGACCCCAAUUAGAUCACUAACAAAAUGUGUAAGAAAUGAUUCCAUUGAAGUUUAACUCAUUGAAUCUUGACUUUAUGGGUUUAUAAGCAGAGAUUAAUCACUGGAACAUGUGUAUUUCAAAGGCAGGGGCAACAUUAAAAAGCCUAGCACAUCAAGGAUGAUUAAAAAUGAAAGAAUAUAUUCCUGGAAAUCCCUGUACAACCUGCAUCACACUGUGAACUGACUACACAAGAAAAUUGGUAGUAUUUAAGAUAUAGCAAUGGAAAGGGAUUUAUAGUUAUUGGGAAUGUGAAAAGAAAAACAUCCUUGAUUUCCUUAAGUUUUGUUUAUUUCCUGAAUAUUAUGAAACACCAGUAUGUUUUAAUUGGGAAGAAAACUAUACAUAACAAUAAUAAUCAGAAAAAGCAAAACCACAACAUUAGAAAUAUCCCAAAAGAAAGCCAUUAAGUCUUUGAACUGUGACAGAUAUUCAAACUUUUAACCAGAAAGAUUAGAUGAUACAAUUAACAUCCUACAGAGAUUACUUAGCUCAUUUCGAUCAGUUAUUUUUGAAGUGUGAAAAUAUAAAUGUUUGAAAAAUGGAAGUUUGCAAUAAAAUUCGAGAAAAUAUCACAAACAGAAUCUGUUGUGGGGAAUAUUAGAACACUAAUAUAUAAGAAAUGUGUAAAUUUCUGGCUAGAAAUUAGCAAGUUGUCAUGUCAUGGAAGUUUAUUUGAACUUGAUAUGAUGGUGCUAAUUUUAGUGAGAAGGAAGCACAUGCCUAACAUAAUAGUUACCACAGAAUUUGUAAUGAUGUCUAUCAUGAAGUUGUACAAGGACCAGUUGCAUGAAGUUGUGCUGAAAUAAUGUUUUGGAAGAUAACUCAAUUAAGAAGGCAAUACAUAAAGGAUUGAUCAAAGUUGAUGUGGAUGUCACUAAAGUAAAACUUACAAAAUUCGGCAAGUUUGAAUGAUAUUAAGAAGUUUAGAACUAGUAAAAUAUGUAUAUUAGAUAAAAGUGAUAGGGUUUCGACAUACAUAAUUUAUUCACUAGUUAGUAUACAACAUUAGAGAAUGUAUUAUCAUGACUAAUUUCUCUUUUCCCUUAGUUAUAUUUUGCAGGUAUAGGAUAUCACUACAUUUGGUUUUCUUUUAGUAAAAAGGAAGGAAAUGGGACAGCUGUUAAAGUAAAUUACAGGAACACAUGACAGUAAUUAAUUUGGAAACCAUAAUUUGUUUCUGUAAAGAUUAACAUUUACUUCUUCCAAAUGCACCAAACAUUCUAAUACGACAGAAGAUCUGACAAAAGUAGGAAGAAAAAUCUUUUUUUUUUUUUUUAGUUUUUUGUAAAACUAAGUAGGUAAAUAAUAGCAUUGACAAAAUUGUUCCUUCCUCAGCUUUCAGGAGAAAUUGACAGAAGUUAGAAGAAAUGUCAGUUUUACUUAAGUGCUACCAUAUUCAAGAAACUUGAAUUUUAGCAUUGCCAAAGAAGAGGUACAGAAAGAAUGAAGGGUAAUUUUAGCAAUAUUUAAGUCAUGAUAAGUGAGUGUCUUUUGGUGAAAGAGAAAUUGCUAUAAAGAUAUUUUCUUUGUUAAGACUUAAAUUAAAAACUCCAAUCUUAUGUAAAAUAAACAUUCCUUCCUAAAAGAUUAGUUAAGAUCUGAAAGUUUGCUCUUUUUCCCCCUUUGAUUUACUGUGUCUGUACAAAUCAUAUUUGCAUGCAUAUUCAGAAAAUAAGUGUCUUUUCAUCUACAAGAGCCUAUGAAAAUACUGGCAUUGAAGUUAACACAGCAUGUAUAAAUGAUAUCUGUCAUAAAGUUCUGGCAUUUGUUUCACCUUCUGCCUGGAGUCCAGGAGCUUUGCUGCCUCUUAUGUAUGUGCCUUCUAUCUGCAGGAUGUGAAAUGAAUCAUCAAAUCUUCUCUACUGUAAUGAGAGUAGAGAAACCUGCUGUAGCUAGUUCACAAAAACGAUGGCUGUCUCCUGCCAGAGUGAUGCAUUAUUAUAACCACGUAGAUUGUGUGAAACAGUUUCCUUUGCAAGAACAAGAAGGCAGCUUCUGAACUGAUAAAAUUAUUUUUACAGCAUUGGAAUUAAAAAAAAAGUCAAACUCGA